ACGAACGCUGGCGGCGUGCUUAACACAUGCAAGUCGAACGGUGAACCUCUUCGGAGGGGAUCAGUGGCGAACGGGCGAGUACCACGUGGGCAACCUGCCCCCGGCUCUGGGAUAACUCCAAGAAAUUGGGGCUAAUACCGGAUGUUCACCGCUUCCCGCAUGGGUGGUGGUGGAAAGGGUUUCCGGCUGGGGAUGGGCCCGCGGCCUAUCAGCUUGUUGGUGGGGUAGUGGCCUACCAAGGCGACGACGGGUAGCCGGCCUGAGAGGGUGACCGGCCACACUGGGACUGAGACACGGCCCAGACUCCUACGGGAGGCAGCAGUGGGGAAUAUUGCGCAAUGGGCGGAAGCCUGACGCAGCGACGCCGCGUGGGGGAUGACGGCCUUCGGGUUGUAAACCUCUUUCAGCAGGGACGAAGCGCAAGUGACGGUACCUGCAGAAGAAGCACCGGCCAACUACGUG
rnacentral:rRNA from 1 species